rnacentral:lncRNA from 1 species
UAACCUCUUUGAGACAAUGAACCACUUUUGCUGUUCCUUCUGUAGUUUUUCUUCUAAAUUUCAUUCUAGCCAAAUGGAUUUUAACAUGAAGGAGGUAUCUUGUAGUCACUUCUCCACCUUCUGAUAUCUCCACUUCUGAAGGUCAUAAGACGAUAUCUGGUCAAUGACUGUGGAGAAAGUUACAGGACCUAGUAUUCUAGUAAUUUGUAAAAAAAAUCAAUAGUUAGGUUUUUUCCAGCUCAUUGCAGCAUGGGUGGUUUUUAGAAGCUUUCACUUUAUAUCUUCUUUUAUGUCUAAUUUUUGAGAACCAUAUUGAAAAACAAUCCAUUAAAUUGUGUACUAGUACCUCCACAGCAGCACUGCCUACUCUGCAACGAAUCGUGUUGGAGGCUGUUCCUGUGGGUAUCAUACAGCCCGUGGGCAUCAUACAUCUCUUCUAUGAUGCAGUGUGACAACUCUCGAGAACCUGGAACGAGCCCCAAGCAGAACCGUCUCGCCGUGGACGACCGUCAUCGGCUGGAAGAGGCGACCAGAGUGACGAGGGAGGACUUGAGAAGCAGAAUGGUACGAAGCAUUGAAAUGAAGAAGCCUACAUGCCAGCCAACAUUCAUUAAAUAAAUUGGGCCGCCUCGACCCCACCCCACCCCAGUUACACUCCCCAGUUACACUCACUCUAG